CUCCCCGCCCCGGUGGGGGCAGCUCCUGGCUCCGAGCCCCCACCUCGGGGCUCCCAGCCUGGUCCCUCGCGGCCGACUCCAGCAGCCACAGGCAUCCUACGCUGCGUGCACACAGCAUAUCACCGGGAGAGACGGUGCGGAAAGAUGGCCUUGCCCUCAAGGAGCUGCAGUCUGCCCAGGAAGGCAGACAGGGGACAGAAAAGCAGGCAGAUCUGCAAGUAAGCAAACUACAGUUCCCCGCAGAAGACACAGAGGCAGUGAGUAAGGGGAACAGACCCAUGGCUCCACUGAAGACACAGAGCAGCAGAUGAAAAAGACACAUCCUAAAUGUUAAAGGUGGGUCUCUCUGUUCUCCUGAGCCUGGGUAGACCUUUGUAACUGCCUUGACCAACAGAAUGUGACAGAAUGAUACCAGGUGACUUCUAAGUCCAUGUCAUACAAAGCAACGCAGCUUCUGCUGGGCUCUCCUUCUCUGGACAUGUAUCUUUGAAGCCCUGAGUCCGGCUUGCCUUGGCCCACCAGGGAUGGAGAAAUGCUACAGAAGCCCUAGCUAUUCUAGUCCCCAGCCAUCUGAGUCUUCCUAGCCCAGACUCGUAAGUGAAGAAGCCUUCAAGAUGAUUCAAAUACCACCUGUCAUUUGACUACAACCUCGGAAAGCCCAAGUCAGAGCGGCACAGUGGAGCCAUUCCUAAAUUCUUGUCCCACAGAAACUGUGAAAGAUAAUAAAUGAUUAUCAUUGUUUUAA